GUGGGGAAUUUUGGACAAUGGGCGCAAGCCUGAUCCAGCAAUGCCGCGUGCAGGAAGAAGGCCUUCGGGUUGUAAACUGCUUUUGUACGGAACGAAACGGUCCUGGCUAAUAUCCGGGGCUAAUGACGGUACCGUAAGAAUAAGCACCGGCUAACUACGUGCCAGCAGCCGCGGUAAUACGUAGGGUGCGAGCGUUAAUCGGAAUUACUGGGCGUAAAGCGUGCGCAGGCGGUGCUGUAAGACAGGCGUGAAAUCCCCGGGCGCAACCUGGGAAUUGCGCUUGUGACUGCAGUGCUGGAGUGCGGCAGAGGGAGAUGGAAUUCCGCGUGUAGCAGUGAAAUGCGUAGAUAUGCGGAGGAACACCGAUGGCGAAGGCAAUCCCCUGGGCCUGCACUGACGCUCAUGCACGAAAGCGUGGGGAGCAAACAGGAUUAGAUACCCGUGUAGUCC
rnacentral:rRNA from 1 species